rnacentral:lncRNA from 1 species
CAGGAGUGUGUGUGCAGUCUGAGUCUGCGUGAGUUCCCCUUCCCCCACUGUUCUCCUGCGGCGUGAGAGUACAAAUGGGAGAAGGCUGCAUUCCUCAGCUCGCCUCUUUCUCCAAACUGUUGCUGGGAGGGGUGAGUUAAUCCCUCUUUGAUAUCUUUUCCUAUAGCGCCUAUUUCUCAAAUAAAGGCUCUGUCAUCGCCUUUGUUUGCUCUACAUCUUGGUGAGAAAGGCAGGAGCAACAUCACUCCAGCAUGCUCUAGUCCAUGAGGAAAUAUCAUGACACCCUGUGGUGCACUGCUGAACUUUUGGGAACUGGCAAGCCUGAAUCAGAAGUGCUACUGGUCCAUGAAGAUAUGCCUCUAGAAAGAAUAUCAAGUACUGGCCCAACAGAACCGUGGAAAAGACUGCCUAUAAUUGCCUUUAUUGCCUUAACAUUCUGCACUGUGGCGGGUAUUGUACAUGCAUCGUGAAGUACAUUGUAUUUUGAGCCACCAAACUGCAGGAGCUCGCUUCCUACCUGCUCAGUCAUUGGUUCAUGCUGUGAAGGGGUUGGAGUGUAGUGGAAUUCCUAGGUCACAGUCUGAACCAAUGGGUGAGCACAUGAGUGCCUGGAGCGGGGGGGGGGGGGCUAGAGUCACCCCUUCUGUCUCAGGGAUGCUUCUUGGAGCGCGUGUGCAGUCUGAGCCUGUGUGCGUUCCCUUUCCCCCGCCCUUCUGCAGCGCAAGAAUGCGAACAGGAGAAGGCUGCGUUCCUCAGCUCGCCCCUUUUUCCAAACUGUUUUUUGGAGGGGCAGGAGCAACAUCACUCAAACACGCUUAUGAGGAAACAUCAUGACACCCUGUGACGCACUGCUGAACUUUUGGGGACUGGAGAGCAUGAAUCAGAAGCGCUACUGGUCCUUGAAAAAGAUACGCCUCGAGAAAGAACAUCAAGUACUGGCCCAACAGAACCGUGAAGGGGACUGCCACUGAUUGCCUUUAUUGUUUUGACAUCCCAUAUUGCGGCGGAUGUUGUGUAUGCGUCGCGAUGUGCAUUGUGUCUUGGGCCACCAGGUUGCAGGGGCUCACCCCCUACCUGCUCAGUCAUUGGUUCAUGCUGUGAAGGGGUGGAGUGUAGUGGAAUUCCAGGGUCACAGCCUGAACCAAUGGGUGGGCUCUGUGAGUGUGUGAGUGCGGCGGCGCGGCAGUACGAGCGGGGGAGGGACACAUUCCUCAGCUCGGCUCUGCCUGCGCGCUGCUACCGGGAGGGGUGAGUCGAUUCUUUUUGAUAUCUUUCCCUCGUGUGCCUAUUUCUUAAAUAAAGGCUUUGUCAUUACCUUCAUUUGCUCUACAGCUACAUAUUACCUACAAAAAAUAAUCCACAGAAAGGAGAUCAGUGACUCUUUCCCAUGGCCUGAGGAAGCUCUUGGAAUUAUAUGGACAGAAGUAGAAGAGAGUCACUUCCUUGGCCUGUCCUAUAGCCACAGAGACUCCUGUUGCAUUUUCCAAGCUGCAAACUAAGGACUAAGCAACCUCUGCCCUUCCUGCAGCCAGCACUCCCCUGAUGUAGUCCAGUGUGUGUACAGGGAACCUUGGACAGCUCUUAGCUCUCUCACCCACUGCUCCUUUCUGUACUCAGCCCAAACACAGAAACCAGAUCACACAAGUUUUCAGACCACAGAUCACAUGUUCUAGCUCUUUUGUACAACACAUGUCCAGAGACAGUUUAAUAAUACUUUCAUCAGAGACUUACAGGCACUUACAUAAAUGGUUCAGCUUUCUCAGCUGUAGGCACCAUUUUUGACAGAACUCAUCUUAGUAUAUUCACAUGAAAUACAGAAAUGAGUUGAAGUAUUUGUGUCUUUAAAAUGAGGAGAAGAAAAAGCCAGUCUGAACUCAAAUACCUUGGCUUACCAAUAUCACAUUUUUUUUUUUAACUAUUUACAGACAUUUUAAAAACACUACUUACAUGCCCCAAAAUGAUGCUUUUAAACAUAAUUCCAACUACAGUUAGCUCAAAUUAUCUAAGCUUUUUUUUUCCCCCGAGUAUAGCAAAGUAAUGCCUCUCAAAUUUAAUUUACAUAAUAAUUAAGCUAGAUUUCUCUGAAGACUCAUACAAUAUAAUCCCUAUUUUAUCAAUAAAUAGAUGGUUGUUGCAUAUUUUACAAUUUAUACAGAAUUGUAUGGAAUGUACUAAAGGAUAUUAACUAUGGCAUCACUUACUGACCACAUCAUACAAAUAUCACUUGUGGGUUAGAGCUCAUGAGAUUUUAAGGAGUUUUUAAAAACAUUUAUCAAUAAAUAAACAAAAUACUUUUUAUGGAGUCUGAAAAUUAAGAAAUUGAGAUUGAGGAUGUGGUGCAUCAGGAAUUAUGAUACAGGAUACAAAAUCAUUCUUCCAUUGAAUGCCACUGAUCUGACAGUUUUUUAUAAUGCAGAAAAUAGCUUUUGUACCUGAAACUUGUCAAUGCCAUCAACAGAGACAAGUGAGGCGUUAUCAGAUGGACAUAGCAUGGAAUGCCUUUUCUGUUUAAGGUCUAAGGAUACAGUUUGCACAUGGAAGCCUAUCAGUAAUUGUAGCUGUGGAACUAUUCAUUUCACAGGUUACAUUGGUACUGCUCAAAAUUAUCUCAUCCCAAUGUUUUCCUACAGUCAGUGAAAAUCAUAGCCUGAAACAAUUUAAACCUUUUGAGGGAAACAACAACAAAGUACAACAGAAGAACCCCCCUCUAACCUACCUCAACUCUUUCACCCAUAUGAAUGAGUAGAGUAUUUGCUAUGAGCAUAUUACAGUUCAAAGGAGUUUUUUUCUUCAGAAUUAUCCAUCAUCAACAUUUCACUAAUUUGCACAAUCAUCCUAACUCCAUAAGCAUACUCCUCCUGGUGCAGAGACAAAUUCAGACAAAGGAGAUCACCUUCAAAAACCAUUAAAAAGUUGGGGAGAUGAGUCAACAUUUGUAUAUUUUUGAUCUUUCUAUAAUUUUAGAUUAAAGAGGACUGUUUAUUUCCACACAAAAUUGAGAUCACUGGUCUGACUGGUUUCACAGAGCGUUUCAGAUAAACUACAUUUUCUUUACACUACAUGCUACAGCUUCCUUUGGUGGGGAGAAAAACAGAAUGACAGUAGUGAAGGGAACACAGCCCAUAUUCCAGUCUGAUACAUUACUAAGCCACACUUCCACUGUUUGCAAUAUUAUUAGAAGUGCUGUUUCGCACAGUCACUGGUGCCAGAGGACUCAAAAUCAAAUCUGAAGUCAUUAUAUAAAAAUGAUACUGCAGAACUCAAUUUUAACUUCAUUAAAGUAACAAAAUAGCUGACAAAUGGAGCCAUCCACUCUGAUGUGUCUCAGCUUCAAAUAACGCAUAAAACAAUUGGAAACUCAGCCUUAGGGCUGCUGCUGCUGCUUUAAAGUAGUCAGUAGUACUGACAGAGUUAAAAACACUGAAAUGUAACACUACAGAAUUAAAAAGUUAACAAUAAGUCAUGAACCUAACUAAAAUGCAGGUUGAAGUCAAAAGAACAUGAUUAAGACUACAUGGAACCUUGAGCAGUGUUUGAAAGGGAAAGAUGAAGUCUUUUGUUAGGACAGCACAAAUCAAGGACAGCACAGCGUCCCCAGAAUGAUUACACAGCCCUGAAUGAUUUCAGGAAGUUAUGAAAUAAUUUUAGCAAAGAACAACACACAGCACAUACAUUUAAUAAAUUUUCAUCAACUGGCAAACUAUAACAUUAUCAACCUGUUUUUUCUACCCAUUUAUAAAACUGAUCAAACCCACUUCAGAGCAUGUACAUCCUAAAAUCUGCUGUGGCAUAUAUCUUAUUUCUGCAUCCUGUAACUUUAAUUAUUUUAAACUUGCAUCUAAAUAGCUGAAGACAAAAGCUUCAGAACAUGACUUUCACAGUGUAAAACACUGCUGCUUAUUACAGAGUAAACCAAAUUCAGGUUGUAUUUUCCUCUUCAAUAUCUGAUCUUUUAAACUACUCACGUGCUUUACAAGCUUCAGAUAAACUACAUUUGUUAUUUGUUACCUCUAGAAACAAGAAGUCAAAUAUCUGUCCUUUCUUUGAAAGCUUUUUGUGUACUCCUUAUACAGCAUUGGCCUAUCAAGAAAGUAGUCCAGGCUUGGUUGUAGCAUUGCUUCAACAUCAUCAACAGGAAAAAAAAAAAAAAACCAACACAAAAAGCUCUUUCCUUAUUAAAAUUAAUAACAAUAACUAGCCAUCUCUGGAAAACCACAGGAAUUAGAAAUUUUAAACCAACCAGUUUGACAGCAUCCUCUAAUUUCACUGCCUUCUACACAGGCCAUUCUGACUUCACAACUCAAAUAUAUGUUUAAGGGGAAGAAAAGCACACUUCUAAACUACAAGCAAGAUUUUAAAUUAGUCAAAAGUAUUCAUAUUUUAUUCCUUUCAGUCUAUUUGUACUAUUAAAAAUACCACUGUUCCAAUUUCACAUUAAUCUAAUUUAUACAGACUUAAUAAUUGAUGUAGCACAUUUCCUUUUCAAAUAUUGUUCAUACCCCUGUCCCACAGGCUUUUCAAAAAUAUGCAUAUGGCUUAUAGUUUCCAUAAAGUCACAUGACAUACUUUAAGGAUAUCUCCUAUCAAAAAUUGAGGGCUUACUCCAAAUCUGACAGCUUACUCCAAUCUGACAGGAUCCCAAAAAACACUCCUCUAGGAAGAAUUUAAGCUUAUUAGUACUCUUUUACUAGAUUGUUCAAAAAAAAAAAGUACCUUUUCUGCUCAAGUGUUCAUCUAUUUCUUCUCUCAUGCAACACUUGAAGUCACAGUUCUGUUUAUGAGACUGCAAUCAAUUCUUCAGUAGUCAAUUAGAGUAUCUCAAAGGUGUAGGUUUUGGUGAAUAAUAAAGCAAUCAAUUUGAGCUCCUGCAGUCUUGUUCUUAUUUUAGUAUUUCUGAUAAUUACAAAAUAAAUACUCAGAAAGCCAGUUCCUACAUCAUAUUUUAUUAGUGGGAUCAAAGGCAGACUUCUAACACAAGCACUGCUAGCUGAGUUGUCACUGUAAUACUCACUGCAGAUUAAUCAAGAACAAUUUUACCUGCACCAGUGUUCACUGCAGUUCUAGAACACAAGAGAACUCUGCCAGAAGUUUUGAUUUAUGCUGACUGUUCAGUGGCCUGCUGGGAUUCUUACUCAAGUAAGAAAUAAAAUGAAAAAAUUGUUGCCAAUGAGAAAAAAAAAUACUAUAAUUGCAAUUUUUUUUAAGGUAAUGUUUCAGAAUUUCAAACACAAAAAACACCAAAUAGAUAUUAAGAGAAAUAUUACAGAAACUUCAAAGCUAAUAUAUAAUGGAAACAUAUAUAUUAAUUAGCAUCUAAUUCUUUUCCUUUGGUACUUAAAUCUGCAGCAUUACAGUCAUUUUACCAAAAUCAGAAAUCAGACAUGUUGCUUGGUUUCCAUAACCACUUUCUCUUACUAAUCCAAAAUGUACUCCUGAACCCAUAAGAUAGAGCAUGAUCCUCACAGGUGAAUAUUUAUAGAGAAUAAUGAUGGAAUCUGGUCGCAUUUUGAUAAAAAUUGUGCUGAAAGAGUCGCCUGAUGUUCUCAAUGAAGACAGCAGCAGUACAAUUACCUUGUAGUAACUUCUUUUAACACUAAAAACUGACAUGAAAUUGUCUUCAUGAAAUCCUUUCAUUAUUCCCUGGAACAAUGCUUGAGGCAUUAUGCCUGAUUCUGUCAUUAUCACAGCUCUACAUCUUAUUAAUGUAAACCAGGAGUAGAAAGAGAGAUGGUGAAUGAUAUUAAAAUCUGCCAUUUUGAGAAUAAUGUUCCAAAACAGAUCAAAGUGCUUGGAUGAUGCCUCCCAGUUCUCGCAGCUUUCAGUAUCAGUUUAUAAUGUCACCAACAAUUUCACUGCAUAGAAUCAAAAAAAGGCAGGUCCUCCUGUUCUCCAUUUUGGCUCAUUGAGAAGAUAUAGCUCAUCAGAAUGUUGAACCCGGUCCAUUGUUUCAAUUGCUUUAAAGCAAGAAAAAGAAGCAUCCUUCCUAAAUUAUUCCUCUUUGCCUCAUGCAUUUCGGCUCUGCAUCUCUAACACUAGAAUCCCAAACUAUUUCCUCAUAUUACAUGCAGCCUGGCAGAAGCAAAAAUACAGUUAUUAUUUUCUAUGUAGUUUUCACAACACAAAAGCAUUAAAGCUGCUCUUGUGAAAAGAUAUUCUCAAAAGCAAUUUAGUUUACAGUGCUUUUCUUCCACUUCUUGUCUCCUUUCUACACUUUUUGCAGUUACCCAGCUAAAGAGGAGAACGUGCCAGCUCCAUCUAGUUCAUAGAUUACAGCUAUCCUUUGGAAGCAGAGUUCAGGUCCUCCCAAAUGCAAGCUCAGCAGAGGGCCACUGGGGAGACCCAACAGCAGCUUCCCCAGUGAGGUUAUCAGGAAGACAGAGCCAUGACGGCACAGAGCUGGAGGAUGACAGACAACAGGCAUAAACAGAAA